rnacentral:rRNA from 1 species
UAGCUAGUUGGUGAGGUAAAGGCUUACCAAGGCGACGAUCUGUAGCGGGUCUGAGAGGAUGAUCCGCCACACUGGAACUGAGACACGGUCCAGACUCCUACGGGAGGCAGCAGUGGGGAAUUUUGGACAAUGGGGGCAACCCUGAUCCAGCCAUGCCGCGUGAGUGAAGAAGGCCUUCGGGUUGUAAAGCUCUUUCGGCCGGGAAGAAAUCGCAUGGGCCAAUACCCUGUGUGGAUGACGGUACCGGAAUAAGAAGCACCGGCUAACUACGUGCCAGCAGCCGCGGUAAUACGUAGGGUGCGAGCGUUAAUCGGAAUUACUGGGCGUAAAGCGUGCGCAGGCGGUUUUGUAAGACAGGCGUGAAAUCCCCGGGCUUAACCUGGGAACUGCGUUUGUGACUGCAAGGCUAGAGUACGGCAGAGGGGGGUGGAAUUCCACGUGUAGCAGUGAAAUGCGUAGACAUGUGGAGGAACACCAAUGGCGAAGGCAGCCCCCUGGGUCGAUACUGACGCUCAUGCACGAAAGCGUGGGUAGCAAACAGGAUUAGAUACCCUGGUAGUCCACGCCCUAAACUAUGUCAACUAGGUGUUGGGUGGGUAAAACCAUUUAGUACCGUAGCUAACGCGUGAAGUUGACCGCCUGGGGAGUACGGCCGCAAGGUUAAAACUCAAAGGAAUUGACGGGGACCCGCACAAGCGGUGGAUGAUGUGGAUUAAUUCGAUGCAACGCGAAAAACCUUACCUACCCUUGACAUGCCAGGAACUUGCCAGAGAUGGCUUGGUGCCCGAAGGGGAGCCUGGACACAGGUGCUGCAUGGCUGUCGUCAGCUCGUGUCGUGAGAUGUUGGGUUAAGUCCCGCAACGAGCGCAACCCUUGUCGUUAAUUGCCAUCAUUUAGUUGGGCACUUUAACGAGACUGCCGGUGACAAACCGGAGGAAGGUGGGGAUGACGUCAAGUCCUCAUGGCCCUUAUGGGUAGGGCUUCACACGUCAUACAAUGGUCGGUACAAAGGGUUGCCAAGCCGCGAGGCGGAGCCAAUCCCAGAAAGCCGAUCGUAGUCCGGAUUGCAGGCUGCAACUCGCCUGCAUGAAGUCGGAAUCGCUAGUAAUCGUGGAUCAGCAUGUCACGGUGAAUACGUUCCCGGGUCUUGUACACACCGCCCGUCACACCAUGGGAGCGGGUUCCGCCAGAAGUAGGUAGCCUAACCGCAAGGGGGGCGCUUACCACGGCGGGGUUCGUGACUGGGGUGAAGUCGUAACAAGGUAGCCGUAGGGGACCUGCGGCUG